CCUACGGGAGGCAGCAGUGAGGAAUAUUGGUCAAUGGCCGGAAGGCUGAACCAGCCAUGCCGCGUGAAGGUCAGUGCCCUAUGGGCGUUAAACUUCUUUUGUGCGGGAGCAAUAAUGGUCACGUGUGGCCAGACGAGAGUACCGUACGAAUAAGCAUCGGCUAACUCCGUGCCAGCAGCCGCGGUAAUACGGGGGAUGCAAGCGUUAUCCGGAUUUGUUGGGUUUAAAGGGUGCGUAGGCUGGGAGGUAAGUCAGCGGUGAAAUGCCCCCGCUCAACGGGGUGAAGUGCCAUUGAUACUGCCUUGCUAGAAUGCGGAUGCCGUGGGAGGAAUGUGAGGUGUAGCGGUGAAAUGCAUAGAUAUCACACAGAACACCGAUUGCGAAGGCAUCUCACGAAUCCGCGAUUGACGCUGAUGCACGAAAGCGUGGGUAUCAAACAGGAUUAGAUACCCGAGUAGUC
rnacentral:rRNA from 1 species